rnacentral:lncRNA from 1 species
UUUUUUUUCAGUUUUGUCAAAGUUGAAAUUUUUUCCUCUGGAUAGGAAAUAUAAAUGUGGUCUAUUCUGUUCUUCGUUAUGAACUUGUCAUAUUUUGUCUUAAAGAUAAUUUGAGUUUUCAUAACCAUCAGAUGACGUAAAAUACCCGCUUUGCUUCUCUAUCAUAUUGAAAUCCCCGGCAACGAUAAGGUUUUCCACUUCAAGUGCACCUACAUCGUAUUCAAACUUGUUUUCUUACCAACAGCCUAAAAAGUCAAAGCUGCUAAAAUUUAGUCUCCGACAUUUAUUUGAUGGUAUGCUGAGUUUUCAUCUUCAUGGAAAGCAAUCAUUUGAAUCUCCUCUCGAGUCCAUAUAGACACAAAUCUGGAUAAAAAACCUAUUUUUGUUAUUUUAACAUUUGAAUAAUAAACAUUACACCACUUUUCUAGAAGUAGGUUCACUAUA